UAAAAAAAAAAAAAAAUCAGAUUUCUAGAUGCAGAUCGCAUCUUUACUUCUUCUUCUUCCAACGCACAACGGCAGGCACAAAAUUGAUUAUCCAAGCAUCUCUUGCUCUCUCCCAAGUCCCAAACCUUGAAACCCAGCAAUUUUUUUUAUUAAAUUGGUUUCAAUGGUUACUCAAUUAUUCAGUUCAUUCUCAUCCAUCACCCAAUCUUUCUCCUCUCCAUGUUUAUGUUAUUCUACGGUAAUCAUACAAAUUUUUCAGCUUUCCAUCGAUGUAGGCUGAGGUACAAAUCAAAAUAGGUGCAAUUGGAAGUUGGAGUUGCAAGUCAAUCUCGAUCAGAAAAGAAAGAGCAAGAAGGAAAAAAGCAAGUUCCAGAUUUCCAGGUGCAAUUAGACGUUGGAUUUGCAAGUCAAUCCCGAUCAGAAAAGAAAAAACAAGAAGAAAAAAAGCUGAUUCUAGAUUUGCAGGUUUUAUUAUUCUAUGCUAAAGUGUUUAUCAUUCAAAGUUUAGUGUUUUGGCUUGCCAACUUUCAGUUUGAAGCUUCAGCAAGAUAUCAUAUUUGGCUUGGGACUAUAAUGCUAUUCAUAGCGGACAGCCAUAAUUAAGUGUAUAUUUGAUAAUUUCUAUUUUUUUCCAAGUCAUUUUCUAUUUGUUUGUUCAACUUUUGAAUACGGUUUUUCUUUUUUGAUUCAGAAAUUCUUCAUAAGUUUUACCAAGACACGCGUUAUCAAGUCUCUUAUUUGUGUGAUUGUGUCGAAGUGCUACAUUAUGUGUGAUCUUUUGGAUUAGCUAGCUAGGAGUUUUCUGUGGCAAGAAAAAAUUUGUAUUAUUUUUAUAUGAGAUUUUGGUUUUAUGUCCGUUUUAUGUAAUAAAAUCGGCGUGGGGAUGAGCCGCCUAGCUUGACUGGGUUCCAAACCCGUAAAAAAAAAGAUUUAGAGUAUGACUUUUGUAAGAAUCACUACAUGUCUAUUUAGGCUAGUUGGGCACACACACAAAAUUUCGCCCUGGGCAUAAAAAAGCUCGGGACCGGCCCUAGUUGUAUGACAAUUGUCAAGAUAACACACGUGAGGAAAAUACAAUAGCGGAUAACACACGUGAGGACACUACUAGAAAUUUCCCCAUUAGCACCUCUUUCUUUGCCACUAAAAAUCUUCAGUGUCAAAAAUGAAUAGUUUCACACUGAUAUAA